GUGGGGAGCAAACAGUAGUAGAUACCCUGGUAGUCCACGCUGUAAACGAUGAGUACUAGGUGUCGGGGGUUACCCCCUUCGGUGCCGCAGCUAACGCAUUAAGUACUCCGCCUGGGAAGUACGCUCGAAAGAGUGAAACUCAAAGGAAUUGACGGGGACCCGCACAAGUAGCGGAGCAUGUGGUUUAAUUCGAAGCAACGCGAAGAACCUUACCUAAGCUUGACAUCCCAAUGA
rnacentral:rRNA from 1 species